GAUGAACGCUGGCGGCAGGCCUAACACAUGCAAGUCGAGCGGUAGCACAGAGAGCUUGCUCUCGGGUGACGAGCGGCGGACGGGUGAGUAAUGUCUGGGAAACUGCCUGAUGGAGGGGGAUAACUACUGGAAACGGUAGCUAAUACCGCAUAACGUCGCAAGACCAAAGAGGGGGACCUUCGGGCCUCUUGCCAUCAGAUGUGCCCAGAUGGGAUUAGCUAGUAGGUGGGGUAACGGCUCACCUAGGCGACGAUCCCUAGCUGGUCUGAGAGGAUGACCAGCCACACUGGAACUGAGACACGGUCCAGACUCCUACGGGAGGCAGCAGUGGGGAAUUUUGGACAAUGGGCGCAAGCCUGAUCCAGCCAUGCCGCGUGUCUGAAGAAGGCCUUCGGGUUGUAAAGGACUUUUGUCCGGGAGCAAAUGCUGGUGGCUAACAUCCACCGGAGCUGAGAGUACCGGAAGAAUAAGCACCGGCUAACUACGUGCCAGCCGCCGCAGUAA
rnacentral:rRNA from 1 species